UAACACAUGCAAGUCGAACGAAGCACCUCUAAUCGAAGAUUGAUAAAGCUUGCUUUUGAUUGAUUCACCUUGAGGUGACUGAGUGGCGGACGGGUGAGUAACGCGUGGGUAACCUACCCUAUACAGGGGGAUAACAGUUGGAAACGACUGCUAAUACCGCAUAAGCGCACGAAGGCCGCAUGGUCUGGUGUGAAAAACUCCGGUGGUAUAGGAUGGACCCGCGUCUGAUUAGCUAGUUGGUGAGGUAACGGCUCACCAAGGCGACGAUCAGUAGCCGACCUGAGAGGGUGACCGGCCACAUUGGGACUGAGACACGGCCCAAACUCCUACGGGAGGCAGCAGUGGGGAAUAUUGCACAAUGGGCGAAAGCCUGAUGCAGCGACGCCGCGUGAACGAAGAAGUAUUUCGGUAUGUAAAGUUCUAUCAGCAGGGAAGAAAAAUGACGGUACCUGACUAAGAAGCUCCGGCUAAAUACGUGCCAGCAGCCGCGGUAAUACGUAUGGAGCAAGCGUUAUCCGGAUUUACUGGGUGUA
rnacentral:rRNA from 1 species